AAGGAGACGAGAUUUCAGGCAAAAAGUCAGUCAGCAAUUGUUUGCAGUCAAUAUCUAAAUAUGAAACUAUUCGCAAUCUUGGUCACCUUGUGCAUUAUUGGCGCCGCUUUUGCCAACAAGGGAGCAGCUGACGCAGCUAAUGCCAAUGAUGAUGAUGCAGCCAACGAUGAUGCGGAUGCCUAAUUCAUUCAUUCGAAAUCGGUAAUUUUUUUGGGAUAUGCCCUUCAAACUAAUUGGCUUUAAAUAACUAUGGACCACUUAAGCAAAAAAAAAAAUAAAAAAAAAAAAAUAAAUAAACUUUUAUAGUUCAAAAAA